UUGUGAAAAAAAUGGAUUGUUCUGAAGAGCUCAGUGAAUUCAAGUGUGGUACUCUGAUAGGAUGCCACUUUUGCAAUAAGGCUGUUAUUUCAUCACUGCUAGAUAUUCCACAGUCAACUGUAAGAGGCAUUACUGGAAAUUGAAAGCAUUUAGGAACAGCAGCACCUCAACCAUGAAGCAGGAGAUAAAGUCACAGAGUAGGGUGACCGAGAGCUGAGGUUAAAAACUGUAUGGUGGGAGUCUCACAAAAACAUCUUGGAUGACAUGGGGGAUCACUAGACAGGCAGCUGAGUUUGGUCAAGUUUGGAACUAAACUCUCCAGGAAAGUGGACAGAGUUGAGAACCCCUGGUGUAAAGCAUGGACUCUGGAGCAGUGGAAACAUGUUCUAUGGAGCGAUGAAUCACACUUCUCUGUUUGGCAGUCUGAUGGGCGAGUCUGGAUUGGAGGAUGCCCGGAGACAGUCACCUGUCUGACUGCAUUGUGCUAACUGUAAUGUUUGGUGGGGGAGGGAUAAUGACGCUGUUUUUCUAGCACUGGGCUUGUUAGGGAUGUAUUUAGAAGACAAUGUCAUUAAAGUCCUGUAAUGGUCAGGUGUCCGAACACUUUUACAGUGUAUAUAAUUAUAGGUUUUAUAUAGGUUUUAAUAUAAAUAUGUACUCCCCCACAUUAAAUAGCACUAACAUUUCAUAUAAAUAUGAAUAUAUAAUGACCAGAGAAAUAUUUUUCAUGUUUUAUCAAAAUGACAUAACUUGAUCUAUCAAUGAAUGGUGAUGUAUGCGCGACUUUUCCAGUCAUUUAGUCUGCUUAAAACACGCCCCUUCACUAACAACUGCAAUCUUGCACUCAUUUUUGAGUGCAUCACCCACAUCUCAAAAUCCAAUAAACAACCUAUAUUCCCACCCUACAUUUAUUUUUUCUUUGUGGAUAAUCUGUUAAACUCGAAAGUGCAUCACAACAGACCUUAGUCUGGGUAGCACCAUAUUUAAUUUUUGACAGGAAUGAAAAUGAGUCUC